GAGAAGAACGUAGCGAAAUGCGAUAAGUAAUGUGAAUUGCAGAAUUCAGUGAAUCAUCGAAUCUUUGAACGCACAUUGCGCCCGCCAGUAUUCUGGCGGGCAUGCCUGUUCGAGCGUCAUUUCAACCAUCAAGCCCCAGGCUUGUGUUGGGGACCUGCGGCUGCCGCAGGCCCUGAAAACCAGUGGCGGGCUCGCUGUCACACCGGGCGUAGUAGAUUUUAUCUCGCUCAGGGCGUGCUGCGGGUUCCGGCCGUUAAAAAGCCUUUUUUACCCAAGGUUGACCUCGGAUCAGGUAGGAAGACCCGCUGAACUUAAGCAUAUCAAUAAGCGGAGGA
rnacentral:misc_RNA from 1 species